rnacentral:lncRNA from 1 species
AGUUUAGGCUUAGUGUUAGGGUUAGAUUUAGAGUUAGAGUUAGAUCUAGGUUUAGGGCUACAGUGAAGUUUAGGGCUAGGGUUAGGUGUAGGGUUUGAGUUAUCAUAAGUGAUAGGGUUAGAAAUAGUGAUAGGGCUAGGGAGAGAGUUAGAGUUAGUCUUAGUGUUAGGGUUAGAUUUAGGGUUAGAAUUAGAGCUUAAUUAGGGCUAGGAUUAGACGUAGGGUUAGUAUUAAGGCUGAGCCUAGAUUUAUGGCUAGGUUGUGGUUAUGGUUAUGGUUAGAUAUGAUGUUAUAGCUAGCUUUAGAACUAGGGCGAGGAUUAAAAUUAGGGUUAGGUCUACGGUUAGGGUUAGGUUUAGAAUUAAGGCUAAGAUUACGUCUAGGAUUAGGGCUAGAGUUUUUUUUAGGGUUAGUGCUUCAUUAGGGCUAGGGCUAAUUUCAGGUCUAGGGUUAUGGUUAGAGAUAGUUUUAGGGUAAGAUUAUUAAGGUUAAGAUUAGGUUUAUGGAUAUGGUUAGGUUUAGGGUUCAGGUUAGGUUUAGGGUAAUGUAUAGGUGUAGGGUUAGGAAUAAGUUUAGGGUUAUCCUAGUGUUAGCAUUAGGGUUAGGAUGAGGAUUAGGGUAAUGGAUAGGGUUACAACUGGGGUUAGGGCUAGGUUUAUGGUUAGGAUUAAGGCUAGGGUUAGGUUUGGGGUUAUGGCAAGAGUUAGGGUUAGGAUUAGGUUUAGAGUAAGGGUUAGGGAUAGAAUUAGGGGUUUGAUUAGGGUUAAAAGGAGUGUUAGCACUUUGAUUAUG